GUUUAAGUAGCUUAUAUUAAAGCUUAGAUUUGAAGAAUCUAAUAAAAGUAAUUUUCUUUUACA
rnacentral:tRNA from 1 species